rnacentral:rRNA from 1 species
AGUUUGAUCCUGGCUCAGAUUGAACGCUGUAGGCAGGCCUAACACAUGCAAGUCGAACGGUAGCACAGAGGAGCUUGCUCCUUGGGUGACGAGUGGCGGACGGGUGAGUAAUGUCUGGGAAACUGCCCGAUGGAGGCCGAUAACUACUGGAAACGGUAGCUAAUACCGCAUAACGUCGCAAGACCAAAGAGGGGGACCUUCGGGCCUCUUGCCAUCGGAUGUGCCCAGAUGGGAUUAGCUAGUAGGUGGGUGAACGGCUCACCUAGGCGACGAUCCCUAGCUGGUCUGAGAGGAUGACCAGCCACACUGGAACUGAGACACGGUCCAGACUCCUACGGGAGGCAGCAGUGGGGAAUAUUGCACAAUGGGCGCAAGCCUGAUGCAGACAUGCCGCGUGUAUGAAGAAGGCCUUCGGGUAUUAAAGUACUUUCAGCGAGGAGGAAGGUGUUGAGGUUAAUAACCUCAGCAAUUGACGUUACUCGCAGAAGAAGCACCGGCUAACUCCGUGCCAGCAUCCGCGGUAAUACGGAGCCAGCAAGCGUUAAUCGGAAUUACUGGGCGUAAAGCGCACGCAGGCGGUCUGUCAAGUCGGAUGUGAAAUCCCCGGGCUCAACCUGGGAACUGCAUCCGAAACUGGCAGGCUAGAGUCUUGUAGAGGGAGGUAGAAUUCCAGGUGUAGCGGUGAAAUGCGUAGAGAUCUGGAGGAAUACCGGUGGCGAAGGCGGCCCCCUGGACAAAGACUGACGCUCAGGUGCGAAAGCGUGGGGAGCAAACAGGAUUAGAUACCCUGGUAGUCCACGCCGUAGCCGAUGUCGACUUGGAGGUUGUGCCCUUGAGGCGUGGCUUCCGGAGCUAACGCGUUAAGUCGACCGCC